rnacentral:ncRNA from 1 species
AGGUGAUUAUAAACUUAAAAGGGAAUUAGGUUAAAAUCCUAAGCUACCCCAGUAACCGUAAAACUGACGAAAUUCAUUUUUAUACCACUGUAAAAUUUAUGGGAAGGUUUGAAUAGUAGAAUGAAGUUAAGCCGGGAGACCUGCCUAUUAUGAUG